GCAUUGGUGGUUCAGUGGUAGAAUGCUUCCCUUCCAAGGAGGUGGGCCCUGGGGGUUGACUCCCAGCCAAUGCA
rnacentral:tRNA from 1 species